rfam:Haemonchus placei strain MHpl1 genome assembly, scaffold: HPLM_scaffold0000874
GGCACAAACUUGAAGUAGAGUAGGUUAGUAUAUCGGCUGACCCUACUAAUCUACUCUACUUCAAGUUUGUGCCC